rnacentral:tRNA from 1 species
AGGUCUUAUAGUUUAAAAAAAAUGUUAAAUUGCAAGUUUAUUGAUGUUAUAAUACUAAGACUUA